rnacentral:rRNA from 2 species
ACAAUUGGAGGGCAUGUCUGUUGCCAGCAGCCGCGGGUAUUUCCAGCUCCAAUAGCGUAUAUUAAAGUUGUUGCAGUUAAAAAGCUCGUAGUUGAACCUUGGGUCUGGCUGGCCGGUCCGCCUCACCGCGAGUACUGGUCCGGCUGGACCUUUCCUUCUGGGGAACCCCAUGGCCUUCACUGGCUGUGGGGGGAACCAGGACUUUUACUGUGAAAAAAUUAGAGUGUUCAAAGCAGGCCUUUGCUCGAAUACAUUAGCAUGGAAUAAUAGAAUAGGACGUGCGGUUCUAUUUUGUUGGUUUCUAGGACCGCCGUAAUGAUUAAUAGGGAUAGUCGGGGGCGUCAGUAUUCAGCUGUCAGAGGUGAAAUUCUUGGAUUUGCUGAAGACUAACUACUGCGAAAGCAUUCGCCAAGGAUGUUUUCAUUAAUCAGGGAACGAAAGUUAGGGGAUCGAAGACGAUCAGAUACCGUCGUAGUCUUAACCAUAAACUAUGCCGACUAGGGAUCGGGCGGUGUUUCUAUGAUGACCCGCUCGGCACCUUACGAGAAAUCAAAGUUUUUGGGUUCUGGGGGGAGUAUGGUCGCAAGGCUGAAACUUAAAGAAAUUGACGGAAGGGCACCACAAGGCGUGGAGCCUGCGGCUUAAUUUGACUCAACACGGGGAAACUCACCAGGUCCAGACAAAAUAAGGAUUGACAGAUUGAGAGCUCUUUCUUGAUCUUUUGGAUGGUGGUGCAUGGCCGUUCUUAGUUGGUGGAGUGAUUUGUCUGCUUAAUUGCGAUAACGAACGAGACCUCGGCCCUUAAAUAGCCCGGUCCGCGUUGCGGGCCGCUGGCUUCUUAGGGGACUAUCGCUCAGCCGA